GUGCUACAAUGGCGCAUACAAAGAGAAGCGACCUCGCGAGAGCAAGCGGACCUCAUAAAGUGCGUCGUAGUCCGGAUUGGAGUCUGCAACUCGACUCCAUGAAGUCGGAAUCGCUAGUAAUCGUGGAUCAGAAUGCCACGGUGAAUACGUUCCCGGGCCUUGUACACACCGCCCGUCACACCAUGGGAGUGGGUUGCAAAAGAAGUAGGUAGCUUAACCUUCGGGAGGGCGCUUACCACUUUGUGAUUCAUGACUGGGGUGAAGUCGUAACAAGGUAACCGUAGGGGAACCUGCGGUUGGAUCACCUCCUUA
rnacentral:rRNA from 2 species